ACAGUUUUGGUCCUAAACUUUCUAUUACUUACAACAUGACCUACACAUGCAAGUCUCCGCACUCCAGUGAGAGUGCCCAAGUCCAAACCCCGAACUUUGGAGCCGGUAUCAGGCACACCCCUCGUAGCCCAAGACACCAAGCGCCGCCACACCCCCACGGGACCCAGCAGUGAUAGACCUUAAGCAAUAAGCGCUGCCCCAGCUUGACUUAGUCAUUGUCCCAAUCUAAAGCCGGUAAACUUCGUGCCAGCCACCGCGGUUAUACGAAGGGCUUAAAAUAAUAGAACCCGGCGUAAAUUGUGGCCAGAGCCCACUUCUGAGGUUAAAACCCAUGACAAGUUGUAAAAUACUACAGCCACAAAGAGAACCAACAAACCUCUACUCAACCUUGCCCCACGAAAACCAAGAAACAAACUAGGAUUAGAUACCCUACUAUGCUUGGUAGUAAACCUUGGCCGCCCCCACACAAAGCGGUCCGCCAGAGAACUACAAGUAAAAGCUUGAAACUCUAAGGACUUGGACGGUCCCCCAAACCAACCUUAGAGGAGCCUGUCCCAUAAUCGAUACCCCACGCUUUACCUUACCCUCCCUCGCCCACAUUUCAGUCUAUAUACCGCCGUCGUCAGCCAACCUUGUGAAAGACUUAAAAGUAGGCCAAAUCGCCACACGCAAAAACGUCAGGUCAAGGUGUAGCUAACGAGAGGGACGGAGAUGGGCUACAUUCUCUAAAAUAGAGAACACACCAGGUGCACAUGAAACCUGCACCAGUAAGGUGGAUUUAGAAGUAAGAGGGGUAAGACUAACCCCCCUGAAGCUUGCUCUGGGUGGCGUACACACCGCCCGUCACCCUCAUCGAUCAGUCGCACUCCCCCUAAAUAAACCAGCGCCACAGAGCCAGAUGAGGUAAGUCGUAACAUGGUAAGCGUACUGGAAAGUGCGCUUGGACA
rnacentral:ncRNA from 1 species